rnacentral:rRNA from 1 species
AUGCUUGUCCCAAAGAUUAAGCCAUGCAAGUCUCCGAUUUGGUCUGUGGUUAAAUCUGCGAAUAGCUCCGUAUAUCUGUCAUUAUUCAUCCGCCAUUACGAACUGGUCUCCGCAGGGAGGACGGGACGAUGGUAGGAUUAUAGGGGGUGUCUGGGUGUCUGUACACGGAUAACUUUGGUAAUUCUACAGCUAAUACGUGCUCUCGUGGCCGCGCACCCGCGCGGCAGCUCUUCUGGCUCAUUACCAGCGAGCAAGCGAUUGUUACUAUUCUGAAUAAUCGGAAGGGGGCUGACCGGCUCUCGAGCUGGCAGAGUGGAGCGGUCUCAGCCCUAUCAACUCGUCAGCAUGGGAGGGUCCUGUCAAGGUGGCAACGGGUACAGAGGAUUAGGGUUCGAUCCUGGAGAGGUAGCCUUAAAAACAGCUCCCACUUCUAAGGAAGGCAGCAGGCGCGCAACGUUCCCAAUGGGGGUCACCCCUGAGGACGUGACGGGACAUACCAAUACUGGGCCUUUUGGUUCGGUAAUUGAAAUGGGGGAAAUUUAAAUCCCUCAC